rnacentral:lncRNA from 1 species
GCAGCCGCGGAGGGCACGGGCAGCGGGAGGCGGAGCGGGGGUCUGGGCCCUCCCCGAGGGGGAGCCACGGGCGCGAGCAGCGCGCGCCGGCCCCGGGCAGGGGAGGACGGGGAGCUUCCGGGGCCCCGCCCCCAGACGGAGACCGGGACCCGGGAGAGCAGCCACCGGGCCCGGGCCUUGCGGCGCCCGCCGUUUGCAGGGUGAAAAACGAACCUGAAAACCCACCACACGGCGUGUGAGCGAACGUGGACGUUUUGUUAAAAAGAUUAAAAAGAGAAAAAAAGCGCCCGGAGGACGCGGUAUCUUCUUGCGAGUAAGACGGGAACGCGGCUCCGCGGACGGAACGAGCGCGCGCAUCUGGCCCCGCGUCCGUCCGGCAGCGCGCGCAAGGACACCCGGUCCGGGUCCGGGGAGGCGGCCCUCCCCGCGAGCCCCCGGGACUCCCGCUCGCCGGCCCCUGGACCCCGGCUCUUUACACUGGACGUCCUUUCCCUGGCGCCUUCUUUUCUUGACUGGUCCGUGACCCCCUUUUCCGGAUGAGAAGAUCUUCAGACACUCGGUCUCCUUUCUUGUCGCGGGGAAAGAACGCGGGAGGAUCUGAGCUGGACGAGUCCCUUCACUGCCCCAAGCCUCAGUUUCCCCAUCUGUAAAAUGGGGAUCAUCAUAAUUACACUCCCUACCUCACAGGGGUGUUGUGAGGAAAGUGUAAACCUUAAAGCGAUAUCGAAGUAGGACCUGUUGUUCCGACUGCUCUGACCCGGAUCCACGCUUAUUUCUCGGGAAGGAGGAGGGAGGCGGCAAGGGAGGACUCCCGGGAACCACCUCAUUCCCCCAGCCUGAGAAAUGCUCCCCCGCCGUCCCCCGGCCAAUGGCCAGCCCUGGCUUGAAGGCUCCCGACCUCCCCAGGAGGCACUUGGAGAGAAUCUGCCCCGCUGUGCGCCGGGUUCUGGAGGCCCAAACCUUGGCAGAGGCGCUGACCACGGGGCCGGCCAGGGCUGAACUCAGGGCACCCACGUGUCCUGCCCCCUUUCCCAGCCUCUGGCCUGGGCCCUGUAAGUGGCCAGAGGCAGGUUGGGUGGAAGGUCGGGGUAAGACCCCGGGAAGACCGAGGCUGCGGUCACGGUGGUGGCAAGUGCACUGGCUCCUUGCGGGCUCCUCCUGCCCGGGGCUCCUCCUGCCCGGGGCUCCUCCUGCCCGGGGCUCCUCUGAGGCUCCUGUGGCUCUGUCCCGUCCCCGGGGCCCCCUCGGGCGAGGCUGCCCUUCCACAGUGACCGGGCCCGAUCCGGAUGCCCCCCGCG